AGUGCAGGGCUGUGAGCCCAGACACCGAUGAAUGACCCUCUUCUGCCAUAUAGACACAGGACACACACUCCUUUUGAAGGAAACUGCUGUGAGCCUUGAAUUCAGUGUAUUUCCCCAAGCCCUGUACUGGCACUGCAUGAACCGCAGGAACACAGGCUGUUUGAGUGCCAGCCAAAUCCUCAUUAACCCACUGACUAUUCCAAUCACAUACUGACCAACAUGUCCAAAAAGGUCAAGGAAAAUAAAGGUCAGGAGAGGGUGGUGAUGUCUGCUGGUGAUGUAAACCUGUGCCCUCACAGUGCUGCUGCAAUUUCAUCCCUGCACCUGAUUCAAAAAUACACCAACAGGUCAUCACUUUUAUUUCCAUGUCUAAAGCUUGGUGAAGUUUUGAAAUAGCUUGACACAGCUUCCCUACCAGAAAAGCAGGAAAGGCUGUUGGAGGAUGGUCUUUGUGGAUAAAACCAACACCGAAUUCCUCUGGUUUGAUUUUGCACAGAUGCUGGUACAAAACACAAGAGUUCAAGUAAUCUAUCUGAAGGCAAUUCUUUACAACUCUAAGCACCCCAGAGAGUCAAUGAGUUCUUAAUUUUACCAUCAGACAGAUAGUUUGUCAAAUUCCUUUGCUAUGUCUUGUACCAAAUAGAGAAUAUCUGCUCUGAUUACCAGUGAAGAGCUCUCAGAUGUUAGUAUAGCGUGUAAUUAACUACAGCCUGUCUUUGUCCUCAACUCAUUUUUCCAAUAAAGCAACAUGUUCUUCAGCAGUUUAUUACUCAGCUGUAAGUUGCUAAUG